rnacentral:snRNA from 1 species
AUCGCUUCUCGGCCUUUUGGCUAAGAUNUAGGGGCUUGCUCCGUCCACUCCAAGCAUCAGCCUGGUAUUGCAGUAUCUCCAGGAAUGGUGCACCUCCC